rnacentral:misc_RNA from 1 species
AAGUUAUUUAUGGUGAUACGGACAGUAUGUUUGUACUCCUCGAAGGACGGUCUGUUGAAGAAGCUUUUCGAAUUGGUCAUGAAAUUGCAUCAGAAGUAACUGCAAUGAACCCAAAUCCAGUCACGUUAAAGAUGGAAAAGGUUUACCAUUCAUGCUUCCUCCUUACUAAGAAACGAUAUGUUGGUUAUAGUUACGAGAACGUUGGCCAAAGCAAACCAGUGUUUGAUGCUAAAGGUAUUGAGACAGUACGAAGAGAUACAUGUGAGGCUGUGUCCAAGAUAAUGGAGCGCUCUUUAAGAGUCUUUUUUGAAUAUAGGGAUAUUGAGAAGGUAAAAUCUUACCUGGUGCGUCAGUGGAAAAAGAUUAUAUCAGGCAGAGUAUCUCUUCAGGAUUUUGUGUUCGCAAAAGAGGUACGAUUAGGCACCUAUUCUGCACAGGCUUCUUCACUUCCACCAGCAGCAAUUGUUGCCACUAAAGCAAUGAGAGUUGACCCGAGGGCAGAACCUCGGUAUGCAGAGCGAGUGCCUUAUGUUGUGGUUCACGGUGAACCGGGUGCCAGGCUGGCUGAUGUCGUGGUAGAUCCCUUGGAUGUUCUUUCAAUUGAUUCGCCUUACAGGUUAAAUGACAUAUAUUACAUCAAGAAACAGAUAAUCCCAGCUCUGCAACGAGUAUUUGGGCUCGUUCGAGCUGACUUGAAUCAAUGGUUUUCAGAUAUGCCUCGUCCAGGGCGGGAGGCUUCUGGUAAACGUCACCGAUUUACUGCAAAUGCACACAGAACUAGGAUUGAUUAUUACUAUCUGUCAAAACAUUGUAUCAUAUGUGGAGAACUGACCCAGGCAUCUAGUUACGUCUGUCAGAACUGCUCCAGCAAUGAAGCUAUAGUUGCUGCUGCUUUAACAGGAAGAACUUCAGUAUUGGAAAGAAACAUCCAACACCUUGCUGCUAUAUGUCGGCACUGUGGAGGAGGAGAUUGGCUCAUAGAAAGUGGGGUGAAAUGCACAUCUCUCGCAUGUUCUGUUUUCUACGAAAGGAGGAAAAUCCAGAAAGAACUGCAAUCUCUCUCUGGUGUUACUACAGAAGCAGGUUUUUAUCCCAGGUGUGUAGUGGAAUGGUUCUAACUAAUGCCUCAUCUGUGUGAAAGAUGUAGACUGUUAAAAGGGUAUUUAGAUAUUUAAGGAACAAUGUCUAUACAUAUGUUGUACAACAUUCUAUUGAGUCUAUUGUAAAUAUGCAUGUGCUCCCCUAGUAGAUAGAUCUUCCAAUAGUCCCG